UGGGGAAUUUUGGACAAUGGGCGCAAGCCUGAUCCAGCCAUGCCGCGUGCGGGAAGAAGGCCUUCGGGUUGUAAACCGCUUUUGUCAGGGAAGAAAUCUUCUGAGUUAAUACCUCGGGAGGAUGACGGUACCUGAAGAAUAAGCACCGGCUAACUACGUGCCAGCAGCCGCGGUAAUACGUAGGGUGCAAGCGUUAAUCGGAAUUACUGGGCGUAAAGCGUGCGCAGGCGGUUUUGUAAGACAGAGGUGAAAUCCCCGGGCUCAACCUGGGAACUGCCUUUGUGACUGCAAGGCUUGAGUGCGGCAGAGGGGGAUGGAAUUCCGCGUGUAGCAGUGAAAUGCGUAGAUAUGCGGAGGAACACCGAUGGCGAAGGCAAUCCCCUCGGUGCCUGCACUGACGCUCAUGCACGAAAGCGUGGGGAGC
rnacentral:rRNA from 1 species